rnacentral:rRNA from 1 species
AGUGAACGCUGGCGGUAGGCCUAACACAUGCAAGUCGAACGGCAGCACAGAGGAGCUUGCUCCUUGGGUGGCGAGUGGCGGACGGGUGAGGAAUACAUCGGAAUCUACUCUGUCGUGGGGGAUAACGUAGGGAAACUUACGCUAAUACCGCAUACGACCUACGGGUGAAAGCAGGGGAUCUUCGGACCUUGCGCGAUUGAAUGAGCCGAUGUCGGAUUAGCUAGUUGGCGGGGUAAAGGCCCACCAAGGCGACGAUCCGUAGCUGGUCUGAGAGGAAGAUCAGCGACAGUGGAACUGAGACACGGUCCAGACUCCGACGGGAGGCAGCAUUGGGGAAUAUUGGGCAAUGGGCGCAAGCCUGAUCCAGCCAUACCGCGUGGGUGAAGAAGGCCUUCGGGUUGUAAAGCCCUUUUGUUGGGAAAGAAAUCCAUCUGGUUAAUACCCGGGUGGGAUGACGGUACCCAAAGAAUAAGCACCGGCUAACUUCGUGCCAGCCGCCGCAGUAA